rnacentral:rRNA from 1 species
GAAGAACCUUACCUGGGCUUGACAUGUUAGUCGUAGACUUGUGAAAGCUUGUCGUCACUUCGGGUGGACUAUCACAGGUGCUGCAUGGCUGUCGUCAGCUCGUGUCGUGAGAUGUUGGGUUAAGUCCCGUAACGAGCGCAACCCCUAUGAACUGUUGCCAGCGGGUAAUGCCGGGGACUCUGUUCAGACUGCCCAGAUUAACUGGGAGGAAGGAGGGGAUGACGUCAAGUCAGUAUGGCCCUUACGCCCAGGGCUGCACACGUGCUACAAUGUCCAGUACAAUGUGAACCGAGACCGCGAGGUGGAGGAAAUCUAUAAAACUGGGCUCAGUUCGGAUUGCAGGCUGCAACUCGCCUGCAUGAAGUUGGAAUCGCUAGUAAUGGUACAUCANCUACGGUACCGUGAAUACNUUCCCGGGUCUUGUACACNCCG